rnacentral:rRNA from 1 species
AUUGAACGCUGGCGGCAUGCUUUACACAUGCAAGUCGAACGGCAGCGCGGGCUUCGGCCUGGCGGCGCGUGGCGAACGGGUGCGUAAUGCAUCGGAACGUGCCCACUAGUCGGGGAUAGCCCGGCGACAGCCGGAUUAAUACCGCAUCCGACCCGCGGGUGGAACCGGGGGACCGACAGGCACCGCGCCAUUGGAGCGGCCGAUGCCGGGUUAGCUAGUUGGUGGGGUAAGGGCUUACCAAGGCGACGAUCCGUAGCUGGUCUGCGAGGACGACCAGCCACACUGGGACUGAGACACGGCCCAGACUCCUACGGGAGGCAGCAGUGGGGAAUGUUGGACGAUGGGGGCAACCCUGAUCCAGCCAGGCCGCGUGCGGGAAGAAGGCCUUCGGGUUGUAAGACGCUUCUGUUCGGGAAGAAUGCCUCUGGGCUAAUACCCCGGGGGGAUGACGGUACCGGAAGAAUAAGCACCGGCGAACUACGUG